UCUCUCGAUUUACGGCUUUCUUUAAGCAAAUUGGUACAAAAUGAUAAAUGACACAGCAUGUGUAUGCAACGUUAUUAUACAUUUUUGGAGAUUCAGUGAAUAUAGUAAUAGUAGAAUAUUAAAAAUUCUUCCGGGUGCAGUGAAUAUAACUCCUCAUUUUAAUGUUCUCACAAAUUAUAUAUUCUAUUCGUAUUUCCAUCCCCUCUUCGUCGAAAUUAUUAGUUUUAACAUAAAGAACAUUCCAACCUAUUCCAUUUUAACCCUGUUCUCCUUUUCAUCUGUUUAUACCACAUUAGAUAUUUAUAUAUCUAUGUCAAUAGAUAUCAUGUAUCAUAUAGUUGGGAACAAAAAUAAGGACAGGUAGUAGCAAUACAUAGGUAUCAAUAAAGUUUAAUCGAAUUAAUAGUAGUGUUAUACACUUAAGUUUUAAUUACCUUAUAUACUUAUAGUAUAUAAAUUAUUUAUUACAUAAUUAAAAUUAAGAUUUACAUUUCUGUGUAAAAAAAGCCGUAUUUAACGAAACUUCAUUAAUAUCUAUUUUUACUACCUGUUCACUUAUUUCUGUUUUUAAUUGUGUAUGCACCUACAAUUUAGUUCUCAACAAUUCCCUAAAAAACCAAUAUGGCGUCGUUGUCGAAUCGUCGGCCAAAUCCAUAAAGAACAAAGAAUACUGAAACAUGAGACAAAGAAAAAUGCCAAGGAAACAUGUCAAUUACGAAUCGACGAGCGGAACAAAUGGUGCGCGCUCGUGUCUAUAGAAAUCACCUGAAUUAACCGUACAAUAAUGUACGAAGAGACCGGAGCAUCGAGUCCGGUCCCACGAAAAGGGGAACAACGUCGCGAUAUAUAUACGUGGGAAUACCUCUUCGGAAAGAGCUCAUCAUCGUCAGCAAUCAGCGAUUGCCGCGUGCAGCUGCACCAUCAUCGGAAAUAAACGAAAGUAAGUCGAAUAGGAAGAUCUCUCAGUUCGAUGGUGAGAGGAGAGGCGGGAGGCGCGUUGAGGACAGGCCCUAAAGAGCGCAGUACGCGCAGCUUCCGUGCGCAUCUUCCCUGUGUGAGUGAUAAUAGCGAUGAUGGAAACGACGUGGACGUUUACGACGGCAGCGACGGAGGUGCAACUGCUGUUUUGCAAUACGAGUGCGUCGUGAUAAUGGCAGGAGAAACGGUCUAGGGAGAGAGACACAAAGCGGGAAAGGAGAAAAAAAAACAAACAAUCGAGGGGGGAAAACAAAUCGAGAAAAAGAGAAGCUUAAACUGGAGGGCAGAAAAAGAAGAAACCGGGUACACAUGUGCAACGGUAGCCGGAAAGAUAAAGGGAUAUGGAGAAGAUACACUGUAUAUGUACUCUCUCGUUUUCGCUGGAAUAUUAUUGGAAACGAGCAUCCAGGCUGGACAUUGAACUCGCGCGUUGUGUUUGUUUCGAAUACAACGCGCGACGAGAGAAAAUAGAGGGAAAAAAUGGUCGCGAAUUGAGCGCUGAAGCCGUAUCCGAACGGAGGGACGACUUGAGCAGAAAGCAUGAAAAUCCGAUAUGCCGUGGCAGAAUUAAAUAUCCUCUGGCGUAAAAUCAAUGCAGGCGGUCGGUACUGAUUAAUUCGCGGGUCCACGGUUCCGCAGAUGGCGCGGUGAUCGUGGUACACCGGUGUGACCCGGCGACGAUCGUUAAAAAACGUCCGCGCGCAUUCAAAAGCGCAUAAUAACCGGGAAAAAGAGAGCGAACCGACGCCGUGGAAUAUCGCGGAGAAGCGUGUAUCAAUUUCGAGAGAUGAAAAGUCGAGCAGAGGCGGAAGGUCGGUGGAGUACAAAUUACCGUGGGGCAGCUGCCCUCCGCUAGCGAUUCCCGUCGACUCGCGUGUAUAUGACACGAGACGAUACGCGCAUGCGCGUUCUCUGUGUACGUUCGCUUGCACAUCGAGGGGAGCUAGGGUUGAAGAAGGAAAACAAAC